GCGUCCGUAGCUCAGCUGGAUAGAGCAACGGCCUUCUAAGCCGUGGGUCGCAGGUUCGAAUCCUGCCGGACGCG
rfam:Aestuariibacter aggregatus strain CGMCC 1.8995 genome assembly, contig: Ga0079874_104